UCCCCUUCCACCCCUGGGCUUUCCAAGAGUGGAGACCUAGAGCCUAUCAAUAUACAUCUUUGCCUGACACUAGACUCCAAGAUUUGGGGCCCCUCAGCCUUCCAUGUCACCCCAUUGCUCUCAGAAACAACCUCUCAAGGACCCUGGAUUCUUCCACUGUCUUUCAAGACCAAGAAGCAGAAGAAUGGAUGGGACUUGAGGAUGGCAGCAGAAAGGCUUCUUGGAAGUCAAAAGGCUUGUAAUCAGGAUCUCUACUCUGGAAGUUGCUGCCAGAAUGGGGGAAUCCCAGGGACAGACUUAUCAUAGGAUGGUUGCCCUCAGCAGCCUGACCCUACCAGGUCCACUGAGAGUUCUGGAAAGCUGGAAAGCUGCAAGGGUGAAGUAGGCACUAAGAACAAGCCCUAUCCCCAGCCCCUCAUCAAGCCCCACACAUUCCAGGUAACUCUCCUAAGUGUAAAGGACGCACUAGAGUCUACCUUCCUUGUGACCUCAUAAAUCUCCCUUUCUCCCGGGAAGAUGGAGGGUGGGGUGGGGUAGCUAUAAAAUGCUGAACAGGAAGGCGGGGAGGUCUGCCUAUCUGUGAGGCCACAGAAUGGGCCAUCCCAUCAGGCCAAACCCCUCUCCAUCCUCUGGCAGAGGCCCAUGUUGAGGACUCAUCAACUGGAAAUUAGUAAUCCCUCAGGGUCUCUGUUCCCCCCUCCCCCGCUCUCAUAUCUCAGCCUCAGCUCAGAACUGACUUGGCAAAGUUGAAGAGACAGUGUGCAAAGUUCUGAGUCCCACUGAGGCAGACUGGAUUCCAGUAUCUUCUGUUUGAUCUUUUGCUCCUCUCCCUCAUAGAAGGAUGGGAUUGUUUUCCUCCCCUCAGUUCAGGUGUUACUGAUACUGAAGAGGAACAAAUAAAUGGCUCCCAGUACCCCUGAGUCCCA
rnacentral:lncRNA from 1 species